UCCGUCUGCACUACUCUGAUUCUUUUGAAAAAUCCAUUCACACCUAAUGGAUUUUAUCCCUUCAGAUGAAACAUCUAGUGUCUAUACACUAUUCAUUUCCAUGGACUUCAAUUUGGAUUUAAUGGCUCCAAGCCAUUUCUCAGAGUUAGACCACUGCAUUGCAUCCUUAUAGGUGAUCGGAUUCUUGUUAAUCUCAUCGAGCUCAAU
rnacentral:lncRNA from 1 species